rnacentral:rRNA from 1 species
UACAUGGGGUGCAAACGUUGCUCGGAAUUAUUGGGCGUAAAGCGCACGUAGGUGGUCACUUAAGUCGGAUGUGAAAUCCCUCGGCUCAACUGAGGAAGUGCAUCCGAAACUGAGCGGCUAGAGUAUGGAAGAGGGUCGCGGAAUUCCCGGUGUAGAGGUGAAAUUCGUAGAUAUCGGGAGGAACACCAGUGGCGAAGGCGGCGACCUGGGCCAAUAUUGACGCUGAGGUGCGAAAGCGUGGGGAGCAAACAGG